rnacentral:rRNA from 1 species
CUGGUCACCUCCCACCCGUGUUUAUUUACCUUGUUGCUUCGGCGGGCCCGCCUUAACUGGCCGCCGGGGGGCUUACGCCCCCGGGCCCGCGCCCGCCGAAGACACCCUCGAACUCUGUCUGAAGAUUGUAGUCUGAGUGAAAAUAUAAAUUAUUUAAAACUUUCAACAACGGAUCUCUUGGUUCCGGCAUCGAUGAAGAACGCAGCGAAAUGCGAUACGUAAUGUGAAUUGCAAAUUCAGUGAAUCAUCGAGUCUUUGAACGCACAUUGCGCCCCCUGGUAUUCCGGGGGGCAUGCCUGUCCGAGCGUCAUUUCUGCCCUCAAGCACGGCUUGUGUGUUGGGCCCCGUCCUCCGAUUCCGGGGGACGGGCCCGAAAGGCAGCGGCGGCACCGAGUCCGGUCCUCGAGCGUAUGGGGCUUUGUCACCCGCUCUGUAGGCCCGGCCGGCGCUUGCCGAUCAACCCAAAUUUUUAUCCAGGUUGACCUCGGAUCAGGUAGGGAUACCCGCUGAACUUAAGCAUAUCAAUAAGCCGGAGGAA